rnacentral:rRNA from 1 species
AAUAUUUAGCGUCUUGUGAAAUCCCCCGGCUUAACCGGGGAAUUGCAGGGCGAACUGGUAUUCUUGAGGCAAGUAGGGGUGCAUGGAACUCUUGGUGGAGCGGUGGAAUGCGUAGAUAUCAAGAGGAACGCCGAUGGUGAAGACAGUGCACUGGGCUUGUCCUGACGCUGAGGUGCGAAAGCGUGGGGAGCGAACGGGAUUAGAUACCCCGGUAGUCCACGCCGUAAACGAUGCCUACUAGGUCGUGGUUGUUCUGACACACUCACGGCCGAAGCAAAAGUGUUUAGUAGGCCGCCUGGGGAGUACGGUCGCAAGGCUAAAACUCAAAGGAAUUGACGGGGGCUCACACAAGCGGUGGAGCAUGUGGAUUAAUUCGAAGCAACGCGCAGAACCUUACCUGGGUUUGACAUGUAUGGAUGCCUGCUGUGAAAACAGUUAGGUUGCCUUCGGGUGAAACUUACACAGGUGCUGCAUGGCUGUCGUCAGCUCGUGUCGUGAGAUGUCGGGUUAAGUCCUUUAACGAGCGAAACCCUUGCCGUUAGUUGCCAGCGGGUCAUGCCGGGGACUCUAACGGGACUGCCGGUGUCAAACCGGAGGAAGGUGGGGAUGACGUCAAGUCCUCAUGGCCUUUAUGCCCAGGGCCUCACACGUGCUACAAUGGGUGCUACAGAGCGACGCAAAACCGCGAGGUGGAGCUAAUCGCAAAAAAGCAUCCUCCCUAGGGUGCAGGCUGGCAAUUCGCCUGCAUGAAGUUGGAAUCGCUAG